rnacentral:rRNA from 1 species
UCUGGUGACCACAGCACAGUGGAACCACCCGGUCCCAUUCCGAACCCGGCCGUGAAACGCUGUUGCGCCGAUGGUAGUUGGAUGAAAGAUCCCGCGAGAGUAGGUCGUUGCCAGUU